UUAUUGGCCAAUCGCCUUGAGUUGAUCAUGGCUCGAAUGAACGCUGGCGGCGUGCUUAACACAUGCAAGUCGAGCGAGGCCAGGGGGGCAACUCCCUGAGUCGAGCGGCGGACGGGUGAGUAACACGUGGGUAACCUACCCGGAAGUGGGGAAUACCUCGGGGAAACUCGAGCUAAUACCGCAUGACAUCUUCGGGACGAAAGUCCUGACGAUCAAAGCGGGGUCGCAAGAUCUCGCGCUACCGGAUGGGCCCGCGCCCGAUUAGCUAGUUGGUGAGGUAACGGCUCACCAAGGCGACGAUCGGUAACCGGCCUGAGAGGGCGAUCGGUCACACCGGAACUGAGACACGGUCCGGACUCCUACGGGAGGCAGCAGUGGGGAAUCUUGCGCAAUGGGCGAAAGCCUGACGCAGCAACGCCGCGUGGAGGAUGAAGGCCCUUGGGUUGUAAACUCCUGUCGGCUGGGAAGAAAUCGUUCGCGGUUAAUACCCGCGGACGUUGACUGUACCAGCAAAGGAAGCCCCGGCUAACUCUGUGCCAGCAGCCGCGGUAAUACAGAGGGGGCUAGCGUUAUUCGGAAUUAUUGGGCGUAAAGGGCGCGUAGGCGGCCAUGCGUGUCUUCCGUGAAAUCCCUCGGCUCAACCGAGGACGUGCGGAAGAAACUGCAAGGCUCGAGUCCAGAAGAAGGGGGCGGAAUUCCCAGUGUAGCGGUGAAAUGCGUAGAUAUUGGGAGGAACACCGGUGGCGAANGCGGCCCCCUGGGCUG
rnacentral:rRNA from 1 species